CCAAUAUGAAGUUGCUUCGGUGAUUUCGAUUCCGGUCGAAAACUAAGAGGGAAACCGGUGAAAUUCCGGCGCUGCCCCCGCAACUGUAAGCGGAAAGUUCGGCUGAACACGCCACUGAAACGGUGUUUUGGGAAGGCCAGCCUGAACGUUGAUCCGCGAGCCAGGAGACCUGCCGCAAGCAAGAACGAUAA
rnacentral:ncRNA from 2 species